rnacentral:rRNA from 1 species
CGGAAAAAGAGGAGUGGCGAACGGGUGAGUAACACGUGGGUAACCUGCCCAUCAGAAGGGGAUAACACUUGGAAACAGGUGCUAAUACCGUAUAACAAUCGAAACCGCAUGGUUUUGAUUUGAAAGGCGCUUUCGGGUGUCACUGAUGGAUGGACCCGCGGUGCAUUAGCUAGUUGGUGAGGUAACGGCUCACCAAGGCCACGAUGCAUAGCCGACCUGAGAGGGUGAUCGGCCACAUUGGGACUGAGACACGGGCCAAACUCCUACGGGAGGCAGCAGUAGGGAAUCUUCGGCAAUGGACGAAAGUCUGACCGAGCAACGCCGCGUGAGUGAAGAAGGUUUUCGGAUCGUAAAACUCUGUUGUUAGAGAAGAACAAGGAUGAGAGUAACUGUUCAUCCCUUGACGGUAUCUAACCAGGAAGCCACGGCUAACUACGUGCCAGCAGCCGCGGUAAUACGUAGGUGGCAAGCGUUGUCCGGAUUUAUUGGGCGUAAAGCGAGCGCAGGCGGUUUCUUAAGUCUGAUGUGAAAGCCCCCGGCUCAACCGGGGAGGGUCAUUGGAAACUGGGAGACUUGAGUGCAGAAGAGGAGAGUGGAAUUCCAUGUGUAGCGGUGAAAUGCGUAGAUAUAUGG